GGCGGGGUGUGUACUUGUGUGACUUGAUGUGGCGUUGCAUGUGGAAGGCCCCGUUGGUAAUGAUCGCAGACUGGUCAUUUGAUGAUACGUGUGCACAGUGGUAGUGCUUGGGUGCCUCAAGAGGGAAUCGCAGAAUAUAGCCAUAGAUCUAAAAGUCAUAGAAGAUUUUUUAAACUGUUAUUUGAUUUUGUGUUGUUUCAGCAGUAGUAUGUCCUUCAACAAUCUGUUAUGUCCAACCAUGGAGUGAGUCGCAUGUGACUAAGUCAACCAAACAGGAAAACAACAACAAUCAGUCAGCAAUGGAAUUAGUCAGUGGAAAACAACACCUUCAAUCCUGAGGAUGGUUUUGAGUUUAUCUAUUGCCUUCCGAACUUUACCAUUUUCAUGGUAUACUUAAUUGCUUGUCGGUGGAUUGUUGUUGGCAUCAUUUGAAUGGUAUGGUCCAUAUAAGCAGUGUUAUGAUGCACUUCUUAAAUACACCAAUCCAUGAGAAAAUAUUCUAAUUGAAAUUAUGGAAAUUUCUGCCCUUCAUGCAGAACUGCACAAUGAUGGGUUUGUAUAAACAAGCUUAAAAUAACAAACAGUAUUUUUGGUUUGGCUUACACAUACAACUCUAUGACAUGUUGAUGUUAGCUAAAUUGUUAUUAAUCAUAGGACUAGGUAGUAUGAAAUGAAAUAUCUUCUCUUGGAAGCUUGUGUCUAUGGGUUUGUUUGAGAUGACCCUUAAGGCAGGAAGCUUUUCCUGCUUCUUACGAAAAGGGACAUUGGAUGCCUUGAUGUCUAAUACCAACCAAGUGACAUUGCAAAGAUAGGUAGAGUAAUCGCAAUGUUGUGGAAAUAAUUCGCGAGAGAUAUGCCAAUAGGGUUUCGCUGUUUUCAAUUCGCAAUCAUAAUGGAUUCGAAGAGGAUAUUGAUGGAGUUUUGGUAUAAAAGAUUGUUUAAAGGUUGAUUUUCAAUAGACAUAGAUAGUCAUUUGAAUGGUGCUGUUCAUAUCUGCAGCCUUGCAGUGUGCAAAAAUAGACGGUAAAAAAAUCUGCUCAUCAUGCCGAUCUGCACGAUGCCAGCUUCAUUAAGCAAUCUUGAAAUGACCUAUGAACAGACUACACAGUAUUAAAGGACUUUUCCCCUGAGAAAAUUUGUAGCUGUGGACUUUCUUUAGAAUACUCUUGUAUCAAAUAUUUUCCUGCUUCUUGAAACAUGGAAAAUAGGAUUUCUCGAUGCCAACCAAAUGUCCUUGCAAAUAUUGUAAAAAGAUGUUAAAGCAGGAAAUAUCUAAAGUUGGAGGACGGUACAUUUUUGUUUCCCGUUACUAGUUUUGUAAAAACAAAUGGUAAAUUGGUGAAAUUAAACAACACAUGACCUAUCACUUUAGAUCAAUUGUUUUCACCAGUGGAGAUUGAUUCCACAAUCUUCAGCUUCCCAGGCAGACACCCAUCCACAAAGCCAUGAGUGAUAGAUGAUAUCAAAAAUGUCUUAAUGAAAAAAUUUACAUUUUAGGUUAUUGAUUUCAUAGUCAAAGAACAAUAUGUAAAACCUGAUAGUCUAGCCCUCAAAACCCCAGCUGCCCGUAUGCUUCAACAAGGGUAUAAAGCUAUUAUAAUUUCAGGAGUUAAACAUUGAAACCAAAAACAAAUCAGACAUUUUUUAGUUGGCUUUUUUGCUUAAUGAUAUUGUUAUAAUUAACUUUAGAAAACAUGGUAUUGUAUACAGAUAUUAAGAGUCAAGUUAAUGAAAUGGUUGCAAGCCGAAAAUGAAUUUUGCAUUACUUUUGAACAGGUCCCAACUCAGUAUACGCAGCGGAUGCCCCUACUAUACAACCCAGCAAUCUUUACUUCAGUGCCGGGAAUUUGUUAUGCUCUUAUGCAUGCAAUUGCUCAACAAGGAAUUCGGUAACCAAUUCUGUUGUAUGUAAAAUUUUUAUUAUUCAACUUAUUUCACAGCAGUAUUCAAC